GUCACUUUUCGGUCUUUCAGCUAAGAUCAAGUGUAGUAUGUUUUCUUAUCAGUUUAAUAUCUGAUGCAUUCUUUAUCUAAGGACAAUAUAUUAAAUAGAUUUUUGGAACAGGGAGAUGGAAUAGGAGCUUGCUCCAUCCACUCCUCGAAUUGACCUGAUAUUAUAGUACCUCUGAGAACAGCGUACCCUCU
rnacentral:snRNA from 1 species